rnacentral:rRNA from 1 species
AUUAGAUACCCGGGUAGUCCACGCCGUAAACUAUGGAUGCUAGCUGUUAUUCGUAUCGACCCGAGUAGUAGCGAAGCUAACGCGUUAAGCAUCCCGCCUGUGGAGUACGGUCGCAAGACUAAAACAUAAAGGAAUUGACGGGGACCCGCACAAGCGGUGGAGCGUGUUGUUUAAUUCGAUGGUAAGCGAAGAACCUUACCCAGACUUGACAUCCUUGGAAGCACUGCGAAAGCAGAGUGUGCCUCCGGGAACCAAGUGACAGGUGUUGCAUGGCCGUCGUCAGCUCGUGUCGUGAGAUGUUUGGUUAAGUCCAUCAACGAGCGCAACCCUUGUGGCUAGUUGAAUUUUUCUAGUCAGACUGCCCUGGUAACAGGGAGGAAGGAGGGGAUGAUGUCAGGUCAGUAUUACCCUUACGUCUGGGGCUACAAACACGCUACAAUGGCCGGUACAAAGGGCUGCCAAGUCGCGAGACGGAGCAAAUCCCAUCAAAACCGGUCCCAGUUCGGAUUGCAGGCUGAAACUCGCCUGCAUGAAGUCGGAAUCGCUAGUAACGGUAGGUCAGCACACUACCGUGAAUACGUUCCCGGGUCUUGUACACACCGCCCGUCAAACCAUGAAAGUCGCCAAUACCUGACGUCUUAGCUAGUCUAGGCCUAAGGUAGGGGAGAUGAUUGGGGUUAAGUCGUAACAAGGUAAC